rnacentral:rRNA from 1 species
UACGAAGGGGGCGAGCGUUGUUCGGAAUUACUGGGCGUAAAGGCGCGUAGGCGGCCGAUCAAGUCAGAUGUGAAAGUCCUGGGCUUAACCUGGGGACUGCAUUUGAUACUGAUUGGCUUGAAUUCGGGAGAGGAUAGCGGAAUUCCCAGUGUAGAGGUGAAAUUCGUAGAUAUUGGGAAGAACACCGGUGGCGAAGGCGGCGACCUGGUCCUUGACUGACGCUGAGGCGCGAAAGCGUGGGGAGCAAACAGGAUUGAGAA